GAUGAACGCUGGCGGCGUGCCUAAUACAUGCCAGUCGAGCGAACAGACGAGGAGCUUGCUCCUUUGACGUUAGCGGCGGACGGGUGAGUAACACGUGGGUAACCUACCUAUAAGACUGGGAUAACUUCGGGAAACCGGAGCUAAUACCGGAUAAUAUUUCGAACCGCAUGGUUCGAUAGUGAAAGAUGGCUUUGCUAUCACUUAUAGAUGGACCUGCGCCGUAUUAGCUAGUUGGUAAGGUAACGGCUUACCAAGGCAACGAUACGUAGCCGACCUGAGAGGGUGAUCGGCCACACUGGAACUGAGACACGGUCCAGACUCCUACGGGAGGCAGCAGUAGGGAAUCUUCCGCAAUGGGCGAAAGCCUGACGGAGCAACGCCGCGUGAGUGAUGAAGGUCUUCGGAUCGUAAAACUCUGUUAUUAGGGAAGAACAGACGUGUAAGUAACUGUGCACGUCUUGACGGUACCUAAUCAGAAAGCCACGGCUAACUACGUG
rnacentral:rRNA from 1 species